rnacentral:lncRNA from 1 species
UGGACUGGAUAAAGGGAAAUGAGGUAGGUAGUGGCAACAUUUGGAGUCAAGUAUGGCUGUUGCACUAACAAGUUUCUUUUCUUCCUCUCCUCUGCUCUGUAGCCUCUUUUCAUGAGGGGUACCCUGGCUGGGCAGGCUUUCUUCUCUUUUUCGAAGCGAGCACUGACUGCUCAAGAACAAGUUCCUCUGUUGUUAGCACUCAAGCUUCUCUUUUCCCCCCUAAACUAUGGGGCUUAUGUGCACAGAAGGCACUCAGGGAGUGCUUUCAUAAUAUGUGAUGCAGAGUGACAUGGAGCUGCACAGGGAAAAGACUACCAAGCUAAAGGCAGAAGCAUAUGUACGAGUAUCUCGACUUUCACCAUGGCACCAACUGGAAAGCGCUGGUAUGUACAAAUUACUUAACUGUCUUUGCCAUCAAUUAAGAGAAAAUAACAAGGAUAUUGUACUUAAAACUCACACAAGUGUUCGUGGAAAGGCUUACACCCUCUCUUGACUUCUUGUAGCCAUGAAUCACCU